AUUGAACGCUGGCGGCAGGCCUAACACAUGCAAGUCGAACGAGUGGCGGACGGGUGAGUAAUGUCUGGGAAACUGCCUGAUGGAGGGGGAUAACUACUGGAAACGGUAGCUAAUCCCGCAUACCAUCGGAUGUGCCCAGAUGGUAUUAGCUAGUAGGUUGGGUAACGGCUCACCUAGGCGACGAUCCCUAGCUGGUCUGCGAGGAUGACCGGACACACUGGAACUGAGACACGGUCCAGACUCCUACGGGAGGCAGCAGUGGGGAACAUUGCACAAUGGGCGAAAGCCUGAUGCAGCCAUGCCGCGUGUAUGAAGAAGGCCUUCGGGUUGUAAAGUACUGUCAUCGGGGAGGCGUUACCCGCAGAGGAAGCACCGGCUAACUCCGUGCCAGCAGCCGCGGUAAUAC
rnacentral:rRNA from 1 species